rnacentral:rRNA from 1 species
AGUGAACGCUGGCGGUAGGCCUAACACAUGCAAGUCGAACGGCAGCACAGUAAGAGCUUGCUCUUACGGGUGGCGGGUGGCGGACGGGUGAGGAAUACAUCGGAAUCUACUUUUUCGUGGGGGAUAACGUAGGGAAACUUACGCUAAUACCGCAUACGACCUACGGGUGAAAGCAGGGGAUCUUCGGACCUUGCGCGAUUGAAUGAGCCGAUGUCGGAUUAGCUAGUUGGCGGGGUAAAGGCCCACCAAGGCGACGAUCCGUAGCUGGUCUGAGAGGAUGAUCAGCCACACUGGAACUGAGACACGGUCCAGACUCCUACGGGAGGCAGCAGUGGGGAAUAUUGGACAAUGGGCGCAAGCCUGAUCCAGCCGUACCGCGUGGGUGAAGAAGGCCUUCGGGUUGUAAAGCCCUUUUGUUGGGAAAGAAAAGCAGCAGGUUAAUACCCCGCUGUUCUGACGGUACCCAAAGAAUAAGCACCGGCUAACUUCGUG